UUCAAUUGAAAUUCGUUUAUUUAAAUUAUAGGAGACUGAUGAGGUUUAUUCUAAAUUGUGUUCUUGGUUUUAGAACUUUAAUUUUGUGUCCAGUUAGUGCAAUUUAUUAAAAUUUGCCUUGCUAACUUCAGUAGCUAGCUAGCUACCAGCACGAGUGUGCAGUUUUCUGCGCCAGAAUGGUAGAAUGGCCAACGCUGCCAAAAAUGUUGUGGACUUUUUGUUGAAGAACCUCUUUUAUUCUCUGGGGUACACGGUGCGAAUUAAAAGUGAGGGUCGACCUCUGCCUGAGAUCAGUUUCAUGAAGAAGGAUGAAAAGGACAAUGCAGUGCCACCGACACGGCCCGCUACCAAAGACUGUGGGCUCUCCUUCUCUGUGGCCGACUCUGCUGUCCCCACAUGCUUCAAGAUGGCCACCAUUGUUCCUGUUCUCAAGAAAGCUAAGGUCCACAGACGAUGCAAUCGCCAUCACACUGCACGCUGGCCUAUCCCAUCUGGACAAGAGGAAUACCUAUCUAAGUCCACUCCUGUUCCCUGAUUAAGAGGUGAUGACUACUCCACUCCACUACCUUUGUCAACUUUCUCCUGACAUGAACUGAAGCCACAUCUCAUGUGCCAUCUCAUAAACUGGCACAUUGAAUGUUUCCCCUCCAAGCACUUCAAAUCAUGUCCUGCACUGGUCAAGCCUAUGAACACCUCAACUCAUGCCUCAUACCCUCAUUCAAUCACUGCUGUGAUCCCUUUCCCAUAUCUUCCAGUCUGGAUGACCAGACGACGGGUCCGGAACAGCGAUACCAUUCCGGACAUCCGCUGCCCAUCCUUGGAGCGGCCUGCUUCAUUCGCAUAAACCCAACCCGGAUCAAUCACCAGAGGGGGACCACAACGAUGGUCCACAACCAGGACAACCCACGAUCAUUUUUAUGUUGGUUUGCAACUUGCAGGAUAAUCGCAAGAUUGAACCCAACAAAGGGGAAUUGUCAUGACGUUGCCCUGUUGGGUGUGGUUUAUGACCCCCAUAGAUACCUUUCCCCCUUUUCUCGCCACUCUACAGAAUGGACUCUUGGAAAGCCCUUUGUUAACAUAGAGAGAGUAUGGUAACAUCAAAAUGUUGGGGAAUGGAACAAUAUUUCACUUUCUCAACCAGUUGAAAGUGUCAGUUGGUACUUAAAGAAUAUGAUGUCAGAUCAGUUGGUGUCUGGGACAUUAUAUCUGAUGAUAGGAUGACAUAAAUUGUAUCUUGGAAUGUCGACACAUUCCAGUUAUCAGAUUCACAUGGAAUUGUUGUGCAAUUUAAAUGUUUAAAUAUUAAACUAUUUAUGAAAAGAUGAAAUGUAAUUUUAGCUUUUAAAUGAGAGAAUUAUUUUCAUAAGUAAACUAUGCUCACUCAGUGGCCACACCCAAGUGAACAGACAUUGGUUGAGAACUAUGAAACACGCCCUUCUCUCCCCCACUACAAAAGCACGUUGACGGAAGUCAAAUUUAGUUCCCGAUGACAUGAGGACUGGUGUCCAUAUGUUUAAAAGGGCUAAUUUCAACGUGGAGGUGAUGAUCACCACGCUGGAAGGAUGAAUUUCUACUAGACCAGCCAGAAUUCAGCGUGAGCUGAUUAUGGCAAAAUGGUAUGAACUUUGAACUCUUAUUCAGUAAAGAAGAAGCGAUACAUCCUAGAAGUCGAGGAUUCAGCUGCAGUUGUAAACGUACGUGGCCUAGGAAAGGACAGACAAUCUCCUAAGAAUGACAGUGUACUUCAACGUAUCCUCUCUACAACACUACAACCAGAACGAUUCUGCAAAGGACAAUGGCGAUCUCUACUGGGCAAACUAGUCUUCCAUCUGCGACCCACCUAUCAAAGCGCAGCUCAGUGAGUGCUUUGAGGACAUCGACACAGCCCUGAAGCAUGGCUACCCCAAUCAACUGCAACACAAACUACAGGACAGAUGCAUAAAGUGCCUCAACCACCUCCAAAACCAGGGAGAGGCGCUAAACACCCCCAGACAGGGAUAAGGGGACCAGGCAGAGGGUGUGUGUAGCAGGCCCAGGGGCACAAAGUCCCCAAACUCCCAGCAGCAACAGAAUGGGAGUGCUCCUGUGUCAUGUAGGUCCCGUGUGGCUCAGCUGGUAGAGCAUGGUGUUUGCAACGCCAGGGUUGUGGGUUCAAUUCCCACGGUGGACCAGUAUGGGAAAAAAAUUCUUUAAGUUCUUUAUCAUACUUAUCAGUGUGUUCCAAAUGGUACCCUAUUCCAUAUAUAGUGCACUACAUUUUUGCCAGGGCCCAUGGGGCUCUGGUCAACAGAGGUUCACAAUUCAGGGAAUAAGGUGCCAUUUGGAAGGUAGACAUAUUCAGUAAGCACAAAGAGAUAAAAGACUGUGACCUUUUGACCAUUCCAUGAUUUUACAGGUGACUUUACUGUGGUGCAGUCCAGCCAGGCCGUGUGCAUUGCCAUGGCGAUAUUUCCCACGCUGAGUGUUCUGAACCAGUCCUGCAGCCUCAACACAAGCCUCACUUUCAGAACUACUCACACACACACUACUUGGACUCACCUCAACCAGACCUAUGCUCUACUGAUGAACUGGUUUCUACUGUCAAUCAAUCACAUCAGCCGAUGUCACAAAGUGCUAUACAGAAACCCAGUCUAAAACCCCAAACAGCAAGCAAUGCAGAUGUAGAAGCAGAGAGAGUCCUGUUUCCUGUUCUACUUCUCACUCUGUGUCAGAUGGAGUAUCUGUCUCUAUCAGAACAUCCAGAGACAUAUCUCGUGGACAGGUGAUCCUCUACUGCUAUGGUGAGGAAGAGACACGUCUGUCAACCUCUGGUUCUGUCCUUCUGUCUGUCAGUCUGUCCAUAUGUACACUACCGUUCAAAAGUUUGGGGUCACAUAGAAAUGUCCUUGUUGAAAGAGAAGCACAUUUUUUGUCCAUUAAAAUCACAUAAAAUUGAUCAGAAAUACAGUGUAGACAUUGUUAAUGUUGUAAAUGACUAUUGUACCUGGAAAUGGCAAAAUUUUGUGGAUUAUCUACAAAGGCACACAGAGGCCCAUUAUCAGCAACCAUCACUCCUGUGUUCCAAGUUUAUCAUUUUAAAAGGCUAAUUGAUCAUCAGAAAACCCUUUUGCAAUUAUGUUAGCACAGCUGUUGUUCUGAUUAAAGAAGCAAUACAACUGGCCUUCUUUAGACUAGUUGAGUAUCUGGAGAAUCAGCAUUUGUGGGUUCGAUUACAGGCUCAAAAGACCUUUCUUCUGAAGCUCGUCAGUCUAUUCUUUUUCUGAGAAACUGUAAUACUAUAACUAUAACUAUAAUAACACAGUACAUCAUACAACAUUAUUACACCACUACAUAUCUACAGUACAAAAUGUAUAAAACCACCAUACAACAAUAUUACAAUGUACGUGUGUAGUGUGUGUGCUGGAGUGUGUGUGUGUGUCUGUGUGUCUCUUCACAGUCUGUGCUGUUCCAUAAGGUGUAGUAUGUUUAUUUCAUUUGUAUUAAAGUUACUUGAUGUGGAAAUGAGAUCCAUGUAGUCAUGGCUCUAAGUAGUACUGUGCGCCUCCCAUAGUCUAUUCUGGACUUGGGGAAUGUGAAGAGACCUCUGGUGGCAUGUCUUGUGGGGUAUGCAUGGGUGUCCUAGCUGUGCACCAGUAGUUCAAACAGACAGCUCGGUGCUUUCAACAUGUCAAUACCUCUCACAAAGACAAGUAGUGAUGAAGUCAAUCUCUCCUCUGCUUUAAACCAGGACAGAUUGACAUGCAUGUCAAUGAUAGCUCUGUGUGUACAUGUAAGUGCCAGA
rnacentral:tRNA from 1 species